rnacentral:rRNA from 1 species
CAGCAGCCGCGGGAAUACGUAGGUGGCAAGCGUUGUCCGGAAUUAUUGGGCGUAAAGGGCUCGCAGGCGGUUUCUUAAGUCUGAUGUGAAAGCCCCCGGCUCAACCGGGGAGGGUCAUUGGAAACUGGGAAACUUGAGUGCAGAAGAGGAGAGUGGAAUUCCACGUGUAGCGGUGAAAUGCGUAGAGAUGUGGAGGAACACCUGUGGCGAAGGCGACUCUCUGGUCUGUAACUGACGCUGAGGAGCGAAAGCGUGGGGAGCGAACAGGAUUAGAUACCCCGGUAGUCCCUGUUCUUAUACA